CGUCUAUAUACGUAUAGCAUAUCAAUAAGCGGAGGAAAAGAAACUAACUAGGAUUCCCUCAGUAACGGCGAGUGAAGCGGGAAGAGCUCAAAUUUGAAAUCUUCAAGGUUUUACCUUGACGAAUUGUAGUUUAAAGAAGUGUUUUCUGUUGGAAUUUUGGUAAAAGUUCUUUGGAAAAAGACAUCAAAGAGGGUGAGAAUCCCGUAUUUGACCAUUAUUUCCAACUUUGUGAUACACUUUCAAAGAGUCGGAUUGUUUGGGAAUGCAGUCCAAAAUGGGUGGUAAAUUUCAUCUAAAGCUAAAUACUGGCGAGAGACCGAUAGCGAACAAGUACCGUGAGGGAAAGAUGAAAAGAACUUUGAAAAGAGAGUUAAACAGUACGUGAAAUUGUCAAAAGGGAAGCGUUUGACACCAGUGUUGUUUUCUCGAAAAUCAAUUAAAAAUGGUGGGAUGUUGUGUUGUAUUGACUUUAUCAGCUUUCUGCACUUUUUUCCUGUCCUUUUUAAUGCACUUUUCGUUUAACAAGUCAACAUCAAUUUCUUUUGUUGUAAAAGGGUCAUUGGAAGGUGGCUUUCUUUUCGGAGAAAGUGUUUAUAGCCUUUGACUUCUGCAAUCGGAGAGAUUGAGGUCUGCAGCGUAGAUCCUUCGGGGUUAGAUGCAUUUGUGCUAAGCUAUAGCCUUUCAUAGACAACUUGUUGACUAUGAUCAGUCAUGUAGCUUACUCGCUUAUGUCAUUUUACCUACGCUUAGGAUGUUGACGAUCAGCUGAGCGCG
rnacentral:rRNA from 1 species